UAUAAAAUAAGGAAAUAAAAAUUCAAAUAUAUAAUUAUUGUUGGUUCCAACAUUCUGCCGAUACUAGCCGUAUCUCAACAAUAUUUCCCAACGGACAACACUAAUUAGCAAACUGCGGCAAGCUGCAGCAAAAAGGUCGGAAUUAUAAUUCGUUAAAGAUAUGUAAAUACCAAUGCUAUCGAAAGUAUAUUUAUAUUCAGAAUUUAAUUUUAUAGAAAGAAGUUAGUUAUUUAUGGCUACCCAUCGCCUCAAUGAAACUAAAGAUGAUUUAAUUACUAAAACUCUGCCAAGCAUAUUGCUUUUUUUCUGGAUUUUUCUAAAUGAGAAGGUUAAGCUGCGUAAAUAAUUCUUUGUUGCCUUUAUAAAUCGAUAUUCAUGGCCGAUGACAUUUCAGCUGUAACUUGAACAGCGACAUCCUUCAACUGUAAGUGAUAUUCUGCUACAAUUGCAUCUAGAGUAAGUAAUUUUUGUGGAAGAAAGUUAGGGUCAGGUUCCUUGUCCACGGACAUGUCUGUCACAAGAAUCCAUGUAUCUUCUUUCGGAAGCAACUCCAGAGUGUUCAAAACAAUCAAAUAAUGUUCUAUUAUAAAAGUUCUCUCCUUUUUUCCAAUUAAUUCUGUAGUAGAGAUAUACCGGCUCAGUUUUUCAUAAAUAAUUGCUGCUGCGUCUCGAUAGUUUUGAUGUUUAUACCGCCAACUAAACAAAAUAUUAUACCAGCAUGGUUGUGAUUCAACGUUAAUCAUUUGAAAGGCCUUUCGCUCAAGCAAAUUGUCGACGUCCUGUCUUAACGUUGGCAUUGAAUAAUUUAGAAGCUGAUUUAUUUUACCUUGUUUCGUUAAUUGAUUUACAAAGUCUAGUAAACAUGACUUUUUCAAAGGCGUAGUGGAUAAAACCAUCAAUGCAACGUGAGCAGCGUCAAACUUUCCUGCUGCACAAGCGGUUUUUAAAGUCUCAUGGGUAAUUGCAAUAGACAAAUCUUCGUCGUCAGUCUCUUUCGAGGCAUCUGCUAAUAAAGAAAAUUCUAAUGCAUCUAUAUAUGCACUCUCCUCGAACAGCUUUUUUGAUAGAUGAAGGUAAUAACACGAUAAUAGGUUCUGAUGGUGGUAUUUUUCAGCAAUUUCUUGAAACUCCCGUAAAACUGCGAAUUGAGAAGUAUGUGAGUAAAGGACUAGAGAAGUAGUCUUGAAACAUCGGACAGCCUUAACAGCUUCUUUCGAUUUGAGAUAAAUAAGUGCUUUCAAGUAGACUGCAAUUGGGUCAGAGUUAAGCCACCCUAUUAAUUGCAUACAUGCAUUAUAUUGUUUGAAUAGAAACAACUUUUCUACAAGUUCAGUGACCAGAUCAUUUUCCGUAUCGUCCCUUAUAAAGAUUGCCGACAAAGACGAUAUCACGGUAGCAUGUAAAGGUGAAAUUUGGCUUUCUGAGAAACAUUCGGAAUAAUUCAAAGCGGAAAAAAACUGAAGGGCUGUGUUAACACUUGCUAAAGCUUCCAUAGUAUUUAAAUUACAGUUUGUUGAAUCAACAUCCUCCUCCUCAAAUUUUUCUAGCAAAAGUGCAGAAUUCUCUAAAAGAAAACUCAC
rnacentral:lncRNA from 1 species